CUUCUAGGGCCAUGGCUUGUGUCACGAGAGCACGCGCACGUUCAUGUACCGACCACCGGUCGGUGGCCGAUCGCAGGAGUUACAAGGGAAGGGAACGCUCUAGAAGCGCGUGUACCGCGUGGUAGUAGUACCUUGCUGCUGUUACCGUUUUCUUAGGUUGAGUCAACCUCCGACCUUGAAAAAAAUUCGAACCCAAGUGAAGCAAAUUGAUAGCGGAGCUACGUAAGCUAUUUGUUUCAUUGCUGAUAGUAGCCCGAUAUCGCGGGCUACACAUCAGGAAGAGGAACAACAACAACAGGUUGUUCGAAAAAACACAAAAAAAAAAAAACACUGAAGAAACAACCAUCUAAUCAGAGAGUGGUGACCGAUGACGGGAAACGAAACUCGAACCGCUCUAUUAAUAGCCGUUAAUGUCAAAACGGGUUGGUAAGCAGCGUGCAGUAGGAACAAAACCAACCGUUUGAAAAACUGUCAGACGACCUGGUGCUAGGUGAGUGCUGAUUAGGGGGCAAGAAAAAAAAAACCCGGCAUUAGUCACAUCACAGUAGGCAAUGAUGCGUGCAGCAGCGGUUUUGUGUGUGUAUUAGUAGGUCGCGGUUUUCGCACACCAAAUUGGCCCGGCUAAAGUUACGCGUACGCGAGCACAGACACAAGCGUACAGGGUCGUGCCUCCGCGAGUGCGGCCGGCGAUAAGGCUUGUGGCUCAUUAUCAGGCGCAAGUAAUCGUGGUGUAGUUUGCGCGAUUUUGGUUUCUGUUUUUUCUUGCUGCCCCGUGUAUAUGUUGCUCCUACACACAGGCAACGUUGGUUGGACUACGUGAGUGGACGCACCGCGUCUAUUGAGGUACCCGUAAACAAGCGAGCCAGGCCAGGCAGAAAAGGUGAUGACGGGUUUUGUGACGAUGAGAAACCUUCCUUGACCUUCCAGUGUUCUGGUGCCGAGGUAAGGUAGACGCAUCGAGAAUGAGCACCGGGCAAGAGUGAGCCAGAGCUAAGAAGAUUUUAUUAAGCCAACCUUUAGGCUGGAUCGGAGCGAUCGUAUCGGGAUUGAAGCUGGCAAGAUAGCCUAGAGAGCCAAAAAACACGACAGACACCAAAGGACAAUUCUAGAGGUAAUAGCGAAGGACAACAACAAGGAACGCUAGAAGGAUUUGCUGCUGGCUGCUGCUGAUGGUUGUAGUAAGGAAAAAUUAAUUGAUAUCUUCACUUUCGUACCUUUCCGCGUCGACGAAGGUGUUCCAUCCGGGACGGUAAGUUAUUCCCCCGUCGUUGGCAUUUCGUCCUUGUCGAGUGUGUUUUUGUGUGUCCCUUGCUGCUGAGCGAGAGAUAGAGACGCCUUCUUCUUCACUCUUCAACUUACCCUUCUUUGGACAGGUUUUACACUUUUGUUGGUCUUCAACAAGAUCAUUUGAUUUUUAACAAACUUCUUCAAACUCAGGAUCCCUUACGCCAUCUUAAACGCUGGGAGACCUUAGGGAUGCAUCAAACUCUUUUCCUUCUCUCACUGUUUAAAGGUAGGACAAAAAAAAAAGUUUGAUUUGAGGAAGGAAUUUCUACUUUUUUAAUUUGGUUUCUUUGUCCUGUUUCUUGUCGUGUCCCUAACAUCUUCCCGUAACCAGUUCUCUUGAAGCUUUUAAUUCCCACCGGUUGCAGGUCCUGUGCGCUGGGAUGGUGUUGCUGUGUGGACUCCUUGUGCGUAGUAAGGAAGCCCUACAAGAGCGUGUCCUGGAUGAGGGACAGAGGGAGAGAGAGGAAGUGAGAGGGCGGGGAUGGGGACGGGUAAGGGUUGUUUACGAACUUACCCGCAUCCCGUCCUUAUUUCGGUCCUGAUUUCACUUUGUUUCUGAACCCAAAACAAGCUGAUUCGAUAUUAAACUGUCUCUCAACGACCACUGGCCAUAAUGGACACAAUUCAACGUUUAAAAAAAAUAAGAAAAUGAACAUGAAAACCUUUACCCACGGGGUGUCCUGGGUCGAUGAAAACCUGGAAGAAGGAAAACAAAUAAAUACAACAGCAACAGAAACAAAAGCAGGACCAAAAAAAGCAAUCAGUAAAACAAAAACGUAAAG